rnacentral:lncRNA from 1 species
AAAACUAUAUAAUAUAAAUAAUUUAGUUUGGGAGGGAAAUUCUUUGUUAGCCAAACAUGGCCUUGUGGCCUUUGGUCUUGUGUAACUGACGUAGACGUAUGAUUUUUUUUAACUGAAGUGUGUGGGCUUCAGUUUAUUUAUGGGUCUACUUUUCUAAGGCUUAGCUAGAUAUCACAGAGUGUUGAGAGAGAGAGCUUGGAAGAAGAGAACACAAAGAUUUUAGAGAAGGAAGAUCAUAGUGGUUUUGAGAGAGAAUCACCAUUUCUUGCUAGCAUACAACUACGGUUUGCUAAAUCAAGGUAUAUUCUACUUCUAAGGUUUAUGUUUGAGUUUUCAUGUUCAUUCUCUGUAAAUUGCUAAGUCAUGUUGUGUUGAAAUAUACAUGCAGAUAUGGUUUAUAAACUGAUAAUCAUCAUAUAUGGUGGAUACUUGUGUGUCAAAUUUGUUAAAAUUGGGUUGUAGGAAGGAAAAAUAAUUAACAGUGUUCAUAUUUGAAAAAUGGCUUUAGAAAGUACCAAAUUUCAUGCUUUAUAUGUGUUGUAAUUUGAAAUUUAUUGUUGGAUUAUGUUGCUAUUGUAAGAAACGAAAACAACGAAGUUUAAAUCAUGACAAUUGAUUAAGAAACGAGUUCGUGGCGAUCAAAUUCGUUAAAAGUAUAAAAAUGAAGAAAUUUGGAAAAAUUAUAGUUUUGAUUCUUCAAAUUCGUAUAUGUGUGAUGUUUUUAUAUAUAGAAUGAUGAAUAGCAUGUAUAGCUAUGUUAGUACAAAGUUUUAGAUGUUGAAGUGGGUAAUUUUCUGUAGAAUUGGGAUUAUUGGCCAAAACAGAGUCUGUUUUCGAGCUUCUGUAAAAAACU